UUCUUUUUUAUUUGCUCUAUUUAUUUUUUUUUGUUCCCAUAAAUUAUGAUCUGGCUAACGAUCUAGAUUCAUAUCAGGAUCA
rnacentral:tRNA from 1 species